rnacentral:rRNA from 1 species
AGAGCGAACGCUGGCGGCAGGCCUAAUACAUGCAAGUCGAACGGAUCCUUCGGGAUUAGUGGCGGACGGGUGAGUAACACGUGGGAACGUGCCCUUUGGUUCGGAACAACUCAGGGAAACUUGAGCUAAUACCGGAUGUGCCCUUCGGGGGAAAGAUUUAUCGCCAUUGGAGCGGCCCGCGUCUGAUUAGCUAGUUGGUGGGGUAAAGGCCUACCAAGGCUACGAUCAGUAGCUGGUCUGAGAGGAUGAUCAGCCACACUGGGACUGAGACACGGCCCAGACUCCUACGGGAGGCAGCAGUAGGGAAUCUGCGCAAUGGGCGAAAGCCUGACGCAGCCAUGCCGCGUGAAUGAUGAAGGUCUUAGGAUUGUAAAAUUCUUUCAGUGGGGACGAUAAUGACGGUACCACAGAAGAAGCCCCGGCUAACUUCGUGCCAGCAGCCGC